GAGAGAGAGAGAGAGAGAGAUUUGCAGGGAAAAGCAUCAUGCUGAUGGAAUUUAAAUGGAAACAUUUUUAGAUUGAGCAUGCUCUUAAUGCACCAAUAACCCAGAGUCACUAUCACUCUGCUGAUUUUAAGGCAUUAGAACUCAGUUUGACCUUGUAGAUACUAAAUAAAUCUUGUUUGAUUUGAGUUCCUUUUCUUUACCAAGAUUGCAAACAGGGAAUCUAUCCAGUCCAAUGAGUUCUGGUUUGGCAAACAACCAAUCUACCCAAACCACAGUGGCAUUGCUAAACCAAGGAUUUUAUUUUGUUCAUAAAACAUA
rnacentral:misc_RNA from 1 species